rnacentral:tRNA from 2 species
GGCGGGAUUCCCGAGCGGUCAAAGGGGACAGACUGUAAAUCUGUUAGCUAUGCUUUCGAUGGUUCGAAUCCAUCUCCCGCCACCA